rnacentral:lncRNA from 1 species
AAAUUUUUAGCAUUUUGGCCAUGUUACAUAUUACUUCAAGGCUAUGCAUGCAAAUGCUAAAAUUAUAUGUACUUGAUAAAUAUUGCUUUCGGUCAAACAUGAUCGUUCAGACAGAAUGGUUUUUCAUUACUGAACCUAGAUCCAAAAGAGUAUUGCAAAAGUUCUACAACUCCAGGUGAAAGAUAGCCAAACUAAAGAAGAAAUUAAGAAGUCAAGAGGGAGUUAAAAGAAGGGUAAAAUGAGAGAAAGUAGAGGGAAAGCUGGGAGACAACAAAUAAUAGAAAUAGAAGACACUAUGAGAUGGCACACUAUUCUUAUGAUCACUAUGAUGAUUAAAAAUGACCCUUAUUGCCACCAGGUAACAUAUCUCGUGGCAAUAGAACUUGACUAGCUGCUUGAAAUUUGAUGGCCGAGCCAAAGAAAGAAUAAUAAUCUUAUCAUUGGUCUCUUACCUCCAGAAUGAGUUCUUUUAUGCUAUUUGAAUACAUUAAUCUCUUUUAUCUCUAUGUUCAUUAUAAUUGCAUACGAGCUAACUCAAAUUCUAGUCUUCAGCAUUCUUUUUUGUGUUUUUUCUUUAGAUCGACUACUUUAAGAAAUGUUGUCUUAACAUCUUCUCUUUUACUUGGCAUUUUGUGAUAUUAGGCUAUCUUAGUCGUCUAAGUUUCUUGUUAUCACGUUGCUGCAG